rnacentral:rRNA from 1 species
UACGUAGGGUGCGAGCGUUAAUCGGAAUUACUGGGCGUAAAGCGUGCGCAGGCGGUUUUGUAAGACAGGCGUGAAAUCCCCGAGCUCAACUUGGGAAUUGCGCUUGUGACUGCAAGGCUAGAGUGUGUCAGAGGGGGGGUAGAAUUCCACGUGUAGCAGUGAAAAUGCGUAGAGAUGUGGAGGAAUACCGAUGGCGAAGGCAGCCCCCCUGGGACUAGACUGACGCUCAUGCACGAAAGCGUGGGGAGCAAACAGG